AGCUAAGGUUAUAUGGCCCACUCUCAGACGACUGGAAACAUGUUAGUCAGGUGAAGACCCAGACACAAGACAUUGUCCCAACUAUUGGCUUCAAUAUAGAAAAAUUCAAGAGUUCAAGUUUGUCUUUCACAGUGUUUGACAUGUCUGGUCAGAGCAGAUAUAGAAACCUAUGGGAACAUUACUACAAAGAGAGUCACGCGAUCAUAUUUGUCAUCGAUAGUGGAGACAAGUUACGAAUGGUCGUUGCCAAAGAGGAACUUGAUACUCUUCUCAAUCACCAAGGUAAGAGAAUGAGACAGUAAGAAAGAGAGAGAGACAGGAAGAGUAAGUGUAAGAGUAAGAGAGGGAGAGAAGGGGAGAAAGACAGACAGACAGACAGACAGACAGACAGACAGACAGACAGACAAACACACUUUCUUCACUUGUUCUCUGGUGUUCCUGCUCCCUCCAGACAUCUGCAGUAGGAGG